AGGAUAAAUGGCCGCGGCUGGCAGGCCGAAAGGUGCCAGACGAGGAAAGUCCGGGCUUCACAGGGCAGGGAUGCCGGAUAACGUCCGGUGGAGGCGACUCCAAGGAAAGUGCAACAGAAAUGAACCGCCGGCUUCGGCCGGUAAGGGUGGAAGGGCAGUGUAAGAGACUACCGCCUUUCUGGCAACAGAGAGGGCAUAUGUAAACCCCAUCCGAAGCAAGACCGCAAAGAAGCGUAUGGCGGCCCGUCAGCUUCAGGUAGGUCGCUUGAGCCUGCCGGCAACGGCAGGCCUAGAUAGAUGGCCAUUCACGACAUAACCCGGCUUAUCGUCCUGCUUA
rnacentral:RNase_P_RNA from 1 species